ACGAACCGAGCGAACGUUGUUCGGAAUCACUGGGCUUAAAGGGCGCGUAGGCGGAUCAGCAAGUCCGGGGUGAAAUCUUUCGGCUCAACCGGAAAAGGGCCUUGGAUACUGCUGGUCUGGAGGGAGGUAGGGGCAGCUGGAACUUCCGGUGGAGCGGUGAAAUGCGUUGAUAUCGGAAGGAACUCCGGUGGCGAAGGCGAGCUGCUGGACCUCUUCUGACGCUGAGGCGCGAAAGCUAGGGGAGCAAACGGGA
rnacentral:rRNA from 1 species